ACCUCCUCCCUACCUUUCACUUGUUUCGUUAUCUGAAGACUCACAGGGAAAUAGCAAAGGCUAAAACAGAACGAAGACUUAAAAAGAAAUUGGAUUGAAGACAAGGGUCUGCAGGCUGUGCUUACAAUGUCAAAAUGGGAAAGGGUUGCUGGAAAAGAAACUACAAGGAGGAGGAAUUGGAGACUUAUGGACAUCCAUAAACCUUCCUUGCAUGUACCACGUGGGAGAUUCUGCAUGGUACUGGCAGCAUUCAAAGAUGGAGCGCCCUUCCAGAGUUCCCAAGCUACUAGAAGGAUCCGCAUUCCCCAGAAACUACUCUCCUGGUCUCAGCAAAAGGCACUGCGAAUACACAGAAAAAAAACACUUACUUGCUCCAGGGACAAGAGGGGUUUAGGUAUGGAAGCUAUUGAGAACUAUCCUGGAUUUGCUGGCAGAAACAAUUUCACCUAAACACUGGGCUCUACAACCAAGAGAACUUGUGACCAGAAUCUGCCACUGGGCACUGAAGAAAACCUUCCCUGGAAGAAUGAAGUUCAGACUUUCCCUAAAACUCUAGACAUUAUCAUGAAUAUUAAAGUUUAAUGUUAUGUUAUUGACUUAAUAAUAAUAACUAAAAUGUUUUUGCCAGAACACCGGGCUAGCUUCCCUCUUUCAUUUAAUUCUCCCUCCAACCACCAUGUGAUAUUUAAGCACAUUCCUAUUAUUAUCUGAAUUUACAGAUAAAAGAACUGGGGCUUAGACAAGGUAUUAGUCUGGCUACACCUAAAGUAUAACCCCUAAACUUUGCUAGAACAAGUCUGUCAUGUCCUCAAGGUUGAAGUUUUGCUUUUGUCAGAAUUUAAUAGUAAUAACCACUAACACUUAUUAAGUGUUUACUGUGUACAAGGCACCAGGAUCGUCUCAUCUAAUCUCAGCAGAAUCCCAUCAUUAUUCACAUUUCACAGAUGAGAAAACAAAUGUAUUACACAACCUGGACAAGGUUCCACUGACAGUGGGUGGUAGAGCCAAGCAAGAUGUGAACCUUCAGAGUCUCUUUUCAGAGCUGCACCUAUCUUCUUUGUUGCUUCCUUUCAUUUCAUACCCUGGGGAGAGAACUCUGUAUGUUUCAACCUUAAAAAUCUCCCAAGAAACUUCUUACCAAUAGACUGGUACUGAUUAUACUUCCAAGGCCAGGUCUUUCCAGACUCACUUUAUAACCAAUAGGAAUCAACUGGAAGUAGAAAAAAAAAAUCUGGAGAGCUAAUAGACCUAGAGCCCAGGACUGUGAGAAAGAGGCACUGUUUGUGCUAUACUUAAAAAAAAAAAAUUAGGGAGUUGUCAUACUCUAUCCCAAUGGUGGGCGAGCUGAGAAACAAAUCAAAAUAAGCAGCUCAGGGACACAAGAGGAGAGUAGUUAACAUCAUUAAUCAAACAAAAACCUUUGGAUUUGGAGGAUGUCCUCCUUUUACAGUUUAUCAGCCAUGAUCAGGGAGUAGGAGCGGCAGAAGAGGGCACUAUGCCCUCAGGUCAAACAGCAAUGUCUCCUGUGCCAGGGCAGGAAAUGGCCUUGUUUUUGCUCUCUGAAAUGAACAUAAGUCCAGAAAUGUUCAAGGACUUUGCCCAUGGAAAGACCGGGACCCAGCUGCCUCACCAGAGCUAGAAGGCAGUUAAAAGCUGGCUUCUCUAACCAAGAGAAAAUUUCGCAGUUAUCUAACUAAGUUUACCAGAAAGGCAAGUUCUUGUAAGUAAACACUACAUUAGUAUGAUAUGUCAAGAUCAUUGUAUUGUCAUGAGCAACUAAUAAAAAUAAAUAAAUAAAAUGUGCAUUUUGCUCCAAAAAAAUACUACAUUAGUUCCUCCUCCCAGACCAACACAUAAAAAGAAGAGAACUGCAUUUUUUCUAUUCAUGUGUCUCUGACUAAAGCCCUAGAAUCAUCUUCCCAAAGGAUCAAGAUCUCACUUGGCCACUGCUCAGCCUAUAUUUGCUUCCCUGUGCUGAGAAGCACCCAAACUAAUAUCAGUAUUGCACUAUUCAUCAAAUCCUAAAUAUUCUACUGGAAACAUUUUCUCCCAAAGCAAAAUACCUUCUUGAUGGGACAAUCUCCAUGUCAGUACAAGGAAAACUAGAGCUUUACAGCAGGUUCAUAUCUGCGAACAUUAUCUUCCUUUGUUAUGGAAACCCAGGUCUUUUUCACGCUCUUUAUCUUGACAAAUCUACAAAUUAUCCCACAGAUACUGUUGUGGAAUCUCUUAGGAUGAGCCAUGAUUUCACAGAAAUGUCACACACUUUAUUGCUUACAAUAGAGGACCUUCCCUGUGGGAGUGGGGAGGGGAGAAGAGUAGGGAAUAAAACAGGAUAGGAGAGGGAAGUUUACCACUGGGUUUUGGAUUCAAGUCAGGUAGAACAUUACAGAGAUACCAGUGGGGGAGAAAAUACCUUCAUAGACAUUUAUACAAUUCAUAAGCAUAAUACAGACUGGGACACAUAAUAAAGACAUAUGACCUCUCACAGAAUAAAAUUAAAAACUCCUGGUUUUGACCUGCCCUGCUAGAGUCCUUAUAAGGUACCACCAUGCCUUCAACACCUGUAAAUAGAAUACUGAGAUCUCAUAUUUCUAAAUGUAGGACCGAAAGACCAGGACCCAUGUUUUUUGAUUAUAGGAUGCUCAUGACCAAUAGCCCUGAUUUAGGACCUCAUCAUGAAAAUUAAGUCUGAGUAUGAUUUUCUUUUAGGUGUAGGCUUGCCAAAUGUUAACAAAUUAAAAUAUAGGACACUCAGCUAAACAAGCAUGGUAUAUAGUUAUAUUAAAAAAUCAUUCACUAUCUGAAAUUCAAAUUUAAUGGGACAGUCUAUAUUUUCUAUUAGUGUGACAGUCUCUAUAAUACCCCUCAUCUGCCUGAGAAGACAGAUCAAGUAAAAGCUGAGAAUUCAUAUUCAACAAUGCUGAAGGAAGAAAGAAAAAAAAUAUUUCUAAUGAAUGACAAAAAGAUUGCAAAUUAAUGGAUUAUAUGAAUAUUAAGUCUUACAGUACAUUAAACCAUAAAACUGGUUGGUAUAUGACACUAAAUUAACUUUAUGCACCUCGCCAUUUCCUGAAGCACAGAACCGAAGGUUACCUGGCAUGGUAUUUAAAGUACAUAUGACAUAUGUUUAAUAAAUACCUAUUAAUUCACGAUCCUGGCAAUAUAGUCCAAGCCUGCUCAUUUUACAUUAAAAAGUAUGAAGAGUUUGGAUAAAAUAUGGACAGGAAAACACUUAGCUUGAUAAGCAAAUAAUUAAAGGAAUAACUACUUUUCCUUGAAUAAACUGCCAGUAGUAAAAGGAAAUCACAUUAUGGAAUAUAAUAAAAAAAAGUUUUCAAGAAUUCCAGUGCAACAAGAAUUCUUUCAGGAAGACAUCAGCCAAAAGGAAUAACACUUGUGUUAAUUCCGAUUGCCUGGAAGUGAACGAACAUUCUAGCACUGACACAGUUUGUUGAAGGGUGCAUCUUUUUCCUUUUAAGUCAAAAUAUUUUAUGAAGGAAAUAAUUUGCAUUGAGAAAGCUGCUGUGGGGUUCAUAGGCUAUGGAAUAUAUUUUUUAUUCAUCAAUUCUCAUAUUAUUGCCAAAGGAUCAUCUGAUAUACCUAACAUACCUACAAAUCAGCUUCAUCAGAAGUAAAAAUAAAUGAUUCAGUAGAUGGGAAAAAAUCUAAAUAAAUCUUUCUAAAACCUUCCCAAGUUUUUCAUCAAAAUACAAAAAUCAAAUGUAUUAUGAUUGUCAUGAUAAAUAUUUUCAGUUAUGUUGGCUAAUCAAUAAAUAUUCCUUAAACCCA